rnacentral:lncRNA from 1 species
UGGUAUUCACCAGUAACUUUAACCCCAUUUUGCUAACCCUUAACUUCUGCAAGCUUUGUGUGGGGAAAAUUAUAAUACCAAAUCUAUCCCACACAGCAUGAGAACAAAUCUUAGCCCAAGUGAAUUAAAAGUACUCAAGUAUAUAUUUUAUAAUGCAUAAUAUAAGAUCAUACCCUAUCCCUGCUUUGGGGCCACUUAAUUGAGUGUUUGUAUCCUUCCGGUAAAGGAGCAAUACAGGUACAAGCUUCUUCAGGGCAAUACCUCUCUCGAUGUUCAUAAUGCUUUUGUGCUGGAAAGCAUUCUAAUUGCUUGCAAAUUGUCCAGGCAAGGGAUGCAAUCUGGCCUAGCAGUGGCAUUACACACUUUCCAGCGAUGACCAUACGGGUCCUUAGAUAUAGAAGUUUGUUGUGAUAUUUUCUGAUUCUAUGACUCAAUAGGUUGAGUUAAGCAAGCCCCAUUCUGAGCAUUAGUUUCCUUCAGAAUUUCUGACUAGUCACCAAAAGGAAAAAUCUCAGUUGAAGCCUGAUCCUUUCAACGACUCUCAGUGUCAUUAUCUUGAUCUUGAGAAUCCUUCUCCUUUUCAAUCUGACUAGCCUCAUCCAUUUAUUUUCAUCCAAGCUCUUCUCUGAUUCAAUUUGCUCAAUUUUAUUCAAUUCGCCGCCUUCUGUUUCUCCAGCUUCUGAAUUCGAAUCUCCACCUUCACUUUUAGAUUCCUUAUCUUCCCUUUUUCUAACAUCGUAAUUUUUAGACACCACCUUAGAUUCCUCUUCAGACUCAGUAUUCUCAUCAAAACUCUCCUUCACUAAAUUCUCUUCCUGGUUUUGAUUAACCAUAUUCUUAGAUUCACUCGUCUCACCAUCACCCUCAUACAUAUUCAUCUCUUCGUAAUUAUCUUCCACUCUAUUCUCUAACUUUUCAACAGGAACAUCAUCCCCAUCCCCAUUUGUUGAAUCCUGUCAUUCAUCACCUUGAUUUUCUACGGAAGGCCCAGAAAAAUCUCAGAUACUCUCUGUUUCACUUUGCUUAUAGGCUCUUAAGAGGACAACAUCCUGGAUCCCACACCAGUACAACUGAUGAUGACAUUAACAUCCAAACGCCAACCAGAAAACGACCAACAAACACUACUACAGUAACCAUUGAACAAAGACAAUAUCACAGGUUCUUUAGCUAUUUAAUAUUCCAUCAAAUAUAAUUAUAUAAUACCUACCAAGGAUUUCCGAAUAGAAGGCAUUCUCAUCAUUCUCAUCUCAAGCAGCAACCUCACCAGUAACACAUUUUCAUAUCAUGUUUCCACCACAGGUCGCACAUAUAGAAAGAAUGAAGUAUUAAUUAGCUUCAACAGAGCCUAUUUCUUUAUUUCUUUUUUUCCCAAAUAAACCUUCAUUCUUAUACGUAUAAUUAAAAUAUCAACUGAAUAAACAAAGUCUGUGAUUACUAGUACAACAUUUUCAUUUUCAAGCGGAGCUAGAUAAGAUAUCGAUGUCUGUCAAAUAAACCUAAUUUAAUCUUGAAACCAUAAACUGCACUAAGCAUAGCAGCAAAGCCAGAGCCUGACUAUAAAGAAGAUAAUAUAUAUAUAUAUAUAGAGAUUAAACUUUUGUUUUAUCUUCCACAAGCAAGAAAUUCGACUGGAACAUGAAAUUUUUAACAAUCUUACAAACAUUAUACACAAAUCUCAAUUAACGGCAAAUAGGGGGAUGAAUCACUGACAUCACCCAAUUCAUAUAUUCAAUUAAUGUAUUCCCACCCCAGUCAGCAACGUGCUACCACAGUUGAUUAGUUAUUAGGGAUAAGGCUUACCGCAAAGAACUGAAUGGCGUUAUCUAAAUAAUGAGUUGAAACGGCAUCUGCAAUCGCAUUAAAUGGCAUUGAACCGAAAGGUAGGGUUUAAAUGAAUGUUGGCCUGAGACAAAAGGGCGUGGCAUAUUGGGGUCUUAUGGCUUCGUUUUGUUUCAAUUGACGGAGGGAAGCUGAGCGAAAGCUUUGAUAUGUAAAUUUCAGCUUAAUUUAAGCUAGGGUCUUCUUUCGAUUGAAACAGAAAAAGAUUUUGGGUUAUUAAAGUGAAAGAGAUGGAAUAAUACAAAAAAUUAGCAAAGUGAAAGCGAGGGAAUACAAGAUUUAUUAUGGGUCCUAAGAGCUGAAGGCAAUUCGCCAUGGUUCUGAUAUACGGAAAACUUUCUUAGCUUUAUCGGUGGUGGAAGUGAGGGUUAGGGCUAGGGUUCUACACAAUGUCGUUGAGAAUGGCUCAAAGUUCAUUGAUUUUAGGUUGCGGCGAGAGAGGGGUUUAUUCAACACUUGUCGAUAUUUGGCUGAAGUGUUGGUAUGUUUUAAGUUUCAUAAAAACGACGUCGUUAAUUUAAACGUCAUCAUUUUAAGAUAUUAUAAAUCCACAAAACUUGAGCAUCACUUAUAUCUAUAAUUUAUUUAUGUUAGUUAAGUUAUAAGUUAUGAAUAUGUCAUAAACUCUAAACAUAUGAAUAUAUGCCACACCAAUAAAGUGUUGGCUCCAUUAGCAAUGGAGUCCCCUUAAGUGGCUUGAUUGGGUUUGCUCCUCAGUUCUAGUUGCAGGGAAGUCGCCUUUGUUGAGAGAACUUGUGCCUCCCGGUUCGAGCGGGGACUUCUAAUAUGGGUUGUGGUACGGGCUUAAAAGUGUCUCCCACAAUUGGGGCCCUCCUCAAAAUACCUCGUGGUUAAGACAAAAUAUAUAUAUAUAUAUAUGUCACAAAUCUAUCACACUUUCAUGAUACAUUUGUGACGUAUCGAAGGUUCAUGUCAUUCCUCCGGUGCAACAUUCGAAAUAAGGCCAUUGCCCUUGUGAAAUUUGCAUUACUUCUAUUGAAAAUCUACAUAAUAAGAGCUCUCCCGUUGCAUUUUUCGUUGUUUUGCUUUUGCUUUACUUUAAUGUGUCGCUACAUGAACAAGUAUAUUGCAACAUAUGUACCAUCAAUUUUGCUAUGUCUUAUUCCCAAUUUUAUAUAAUACAAAUCAUUUUGAAAUUAUAAUAACAACAACGGGGUCAAGCACAUUUUGUGUCUUGAAGAUUUGCGAGGGCUCCAUCCUACAAAGUUAAAUUAUUAUUGUUGUUGUUGUUAUUAUUAUUAUUAUUAUUAUUGAUGACGAUGAUGUGCUGUUGAUGUUUUUAUUAUUUGAGAGAUGGUAGAAUAAAGUUAUUCAUUUUGGAGCUUAACAGUGGAAAAUAAGGAAAACAAGAAAAAAGUUGUAUUCGUGUUAAUUUCCUUUGUCAUUUCUUGUUUCUAGAAAUAUUUUUGCUUCGUUUAUUCUAUUUUAUUUGCUUAUUUCAUUGGGCUUGCUUCACAUAUCAUAUCUAUCUUUCUUUCAAAAUUUGAAGGGAAGGAAAGUACUUAGAAAAUGCUCUUGCCUAUGAACAUGUAAGAAAAACUGAAUAUCAUUCAUCGGAUAACAAAAAACACUAAUCAGCGCAUAAUCCCUAGAACAAAUAAUUAAACCAUCAAAUGUUAGCUAUGAACAACUAUAUAUCCUAUCAUAUUUAACUUCUAUUUAUGGUCAUAUCCCUAACAUAUUUAGAGUGGUUUUGGAAUUUUGAUUACAUCUGAGCUUUCUCAAAAGCAGAUGCUGUGAAAUGAAGUUACUAUUUGCUUUUCAAAACUGUUAAUAAUGAUAGUAGUUUAGAAACUUGAACCACCACCUACGUGAGUCUGUGAAUUUCACCUUUUUGUUUGAUAAUUGGAGGUUUUCGUUUAAUGCCUAAAUUCGUAAACUGUGGAAACGUUUGAAAGCAUCUAUAGCAUAUUCAUUAAAAUCACGUUUUCACAAACCAAAAAGGGUACUAAUUUGGUCUCGAUGUGUGAAAAGUAACACCUACCUAGCCAUCCAUCAGGUAAGUGAAUAAGUAUAAAAAUAUUAAUAUUUUCUCUGUAGUUCCUAUUAAAAUUGUCUAUUAUAGUUGCAGAAUGUCUAGGAAGUAUAAAAGGAUGUCGUUCAAACAUGAUUAAGAUAGAAAGGGAAAAAAUAAGUAAUUAUCCAUGGACCACUUCAUCUUUUAGCCUUUAUAAAAAACAUACAAACAUUUUUUAUUGUUUUCAACAAUCCAUCUAAUAUUUACAAACUGCAUCACAGCUCCACUACUAUCAUAACCCUUUAAAAAUGUUGCUUAAUCACGAGAACCUAUUACUUGUAAAUUAUUUUUCAAGCAAAUGCAACAAUAGAUCUAGUUUUGAUCUGGGUGACUUUUAAGUGUACAGAAACGAGGAGAACGACCUUAUGUCAAGUUGAAGGAUUAAGAUAAAUCAAUUACAAAUCCAAACAAAACUUAUGAGUGACAUUUUAGUAUUAAGCAAACCUACCAUAAUUAAUCAUCCAGUGAUAGGUUUGUUUUCAAUUAGAGUAAUGAUAGAUAUCUCAAAAUAUUUUAUCCCAAAUGGUGUGUCAUUACUUGAAUAGUAGGUAAUUCUUUCAAGAUUUGAGUGAAUUAAUUGUAUUAUCUCUUCAAUCUAUUGAUAAAUACCAUAUCAUUUGAGAUAAUUUUUUAAGAUAAAAGAUUUAGGAUGUGUGGCACUACUCAUUAAUUAUGCAACUUAAAUGCAAUUUUUUUAAAACCAUUUAUUUUCAUUAAAUUUUGAGCCAUUAAUGAAAUAAAUAUAAGUAAAGCUAUUUGAACCUACUCAUUUUCUCACUACAUCAUUUAUUUAAUCAAAUUAAAAUUUAAUUUUAAAAUAUAAUUCAUUAAAUUAUUUGUUUGACUUUGUUCUCUCUCUCUCUCUCUCCCUUCCUCUCUCAUUCUCUCCAACCAUUUUUUUUUUGUUUACAUAGACUAAAUAUUUCAAUUAACAAAUAAAAUUGUUAUAAAGAAUAACAAAUUUAACCAUAGACACCAAUAUUAAUUAAUAAACAAAAAAAUUGAAGAGUGAUAGAAUUAAAGUCUGUUAUACCACAAUUUGCUUUACUUUUAUAUUUUUAUUUUAGUGCGGAUAUGAUGUAGACAUUAUUUUAGGAUUUUAUAAUUUUUAUUAUUUUAUCGUUUUCUAUUUUAAUUAUAGUCAACUAUGGUAUAUGUCUUAGUUUUUUUAUUUCUAUUAAAAUUGUGAUUUAGUUUUUCUUUUUAAGUUAACUUAGUGAAGUAGGUUUAUUAUAUUAUAAAUCAAAAUCUUAUUAUUGUAACUUCAACUAUUGAUCAACUAAUAAAGCCCUUUUUAAUAAUUCCCUCUAAAAUUAUUUAUUAAAAUCUCUCUUGCAAAGUUAUUUAGAUUAAAACGUCGUCUAAUCUCGCUUUAUGCGUUAUUAAAAUCUCAUUGAGCCAUUGUUAGAAUGAGAUCUACUCACGUUUCGAUUAGGACGUAAACUAUCCACAUUACCUUAGCCAGUAUUAGAACAAUAGCUAAUAUUUCCGACCUAUCAAUUCCACUUCCGCUAUUCCAAUUUGUUAGUUUGUAUUAGAGUGGUUCAAUGCCAAUUGCACAGUUUUCCUGGCUACCCAUAUCCAUCCCCACCAAAUCCAUCAUUGUUUAUGCAACAAAAAAAUAUUACAAAAUUACAAAACCUUAGCAGCCGCCCACCGCCAUUUCCACUCUCCACUAAUAGUUCAUCAUUGGCUAAUCCAUCUACCAAACUCAUUAGCCACUACUGACCAAACCUUAGCCACUCCUGCCAUCAAUCGCCGCUUGUACCUACUAUAAAUCAUCUAGACCUAAAAAUUGGGAGCAUCCACCAGCUGCCACCGUGAAACCAACCAUCUUCACUGUCAACCAACACCACCACUAAACUUGCUAGAUUCCACUGGUCAUAACUUGACAAAACCCACCAAUGAUCACCGCCAUAAAUCGCCACAACGCUAACCCAAAACCCGGGCUUCACCUAGCACCACCGCAAACGCCACUUUCUCAUUGUCGAUAUCCAAAUCGCAAUUGAAAUCUCUAACAUGAAUGAAGCACCACAUAUGCCAAUUCAAGUCAACUUUUUGACCAAACCACCGUGAAUCCAGCCAAUCCUCGGCCAUUGUCGAGUUUCUCACGACCAUAUCUAGCAAAUCUAACCACUAAGGUCACCAGCCCCAGCGAAAGAAACUCUAAAGGAUAACUUUAAUCUUAGGUGUUCAAGUAAAAUGGUAAUUUUAAUCUUAUGACAUCAACAAGAUUCUAACGAGCUAAGAUGACAGUGAAUAAUUAAUAAACUCUAGGUGGAUUUCUACAAAGAAAAACGUUUCUGUGUAUUUUUAAAAAAGACCCAAAGACUACAUGGUUAGUGGAUAAUUUCCUUUUUUGUUCUUAUUUUCUACUAUUAUUAACAAUAAAAGUUUUUCAAUAGUAAUUGUUCCAACCAUUAUAACAAUUAUUAUUGUUAUUGCUGUUGUUGUUGUUGUUGUACAACAAUUGUGAAAUUCUAUCUACACAACCCAGGAGGGCGGUGAAUUGGCUAUUAAAAUUAUACUUACAAAAAUACAAAACAAAUUAAACAAAUGCUUUAAGAAAUUUAUAAUAGCAAAAUUAAACAAUGAAUGCAAUUAAAAAAAUAAAGGAGAAGAUAACAAACAAACGAAUUUUUAUGUGUUUCGACAAAACUCGCCUAUGUUUAUGCCGCCGAGCAAACUAAGUUUGAGGAUUCCACUAUCCAAACCUUCUCAGGCUCCAAGAUUUUACAAUUGACUUUUAAUGUGUCAAUAAACUUUUAUAGUAGUAAUGUGUACACAUACCUCUUUCCCCAAGUGUUUCCCACACUUAUACUCAUAAAAUUUUGAUAUUUAAUUGAAGAUUACAAAGAUUAAUCUCUAUAAGAGUGUAUAAGCAAAUGAUAACUCAAUAAUGAUUUAAUGCAUGUAGAUAAGUAAAAUGAAAGCUCAAGAUUAGUUGUAUGAACAAGUUUUAACUUAAUUGGGAUUGAAAAAGUUGUUAGAUUUGAGUUUGAUUUGGGUUCUUCUAGUUUAAACAAUCAAACUAGUCAUAAUUGACUUUUUGAGGACCCACUGGAUUGCUGCUAAAAUAAAGAAGUUAGUUGCUAUAUUGAUGUGGCAAGUUACCGUUACAAAUAAAAUUUAAAAACUUUUUUGCCUAAGCAAAUCGUCGCCUGAUUUAAAUGGUUAGCAGCUAUGUUUUUGGACCUGAAGCAGUUAGCCACUAUUCGUUAAGUGGUUAGUCGCUACUGUUUCAAAAUUUAUAGAUUUAAACUAAAAGUUCCUAAAAUUAUACUAUGGCCUAAAAUUUUGAAAUAUUUACAAAUAGGUCCACUUCAAGAAUUUAAUACAUUACUAAUUAAUUUCAAAGUUCUCAAAACUUUUCAGUCCAUAAAUUUGAAAACAAUUAAUUUUAUAAAAUCAUUUUUACUUACGUUUAAAACUUUUAUAUUAUAGAAAAUGAUGAUUUAAUUUGAAAAUUGUAUGAAAAAAUAUCUUGAACUCUUAAAUACUAAAUCAUGCAUAAAUUAAAUCAUAUUAGCUUUACAAGAAAUAUAACUAUGAAGAUUGCUUAAGCUAGUACCUUUAGUAUUCAUCCUUGAUUGUUGUUGUCUAUUGAGUGACUUGAAAUUGAUCUCACUUGAAUGAUUUUUGUCCUUCAAGAACUUGUCAGAUUGUGAGAAAUAAAUUUAUCAUUUUACCUUAUGUGGUUUGUUAUCAUCAAAAUUAAGGAUCAUAUAGCCGUUUACCCCAACAAUCUCUCCUUUUUUUAUGAUGACAAACACCCUAUGUAUUUUGACAUUUCUAUUGCCCCUGAGUAUAUGACAUAAUUCAAAAAAUAUAACCAAAUAUAUAAACUCACUCCCUCUAAGUACAUGAUCCAUAUAAUUGUACAACAUUUGUAAACUCUCCUUGAGUGACUCAGAAAGUAACUAAAAUACUACAAACACUCAAUCAACCCCCAUGAGCCAAAAACAUGUCAAAACACUUCAAAAUACAUGUCAAUAUCUUCUCCCCCUUCAUCAUGAAAAAUCACUCCUCUAUUAUACAAAUAUUAUCAAUAAUUAUCCCCUACAAAGAUCAUCAAUCGAAAAUCCACACAUGACCAUUAAUCAAGUAUCCAUAUACAUAAUCCAUAAUCAAUAAAGAUAAUCCAUAAAGAUAAUUAAUAAAGAUACCACAAUCAAUAACUAGAAUGCAUAAAGAUAAUCCAUAUCAACUCAAGUAUCUAUAAUGCAUAAGUAAAAUAAAAUCCAUCAAGUAUCCAUAAUGCUAAAAACGAAAAUGCAUAUGAUAAAUAAUGUCGGUGCAUAAAACAAGGAAGCAAAAGAGAUAAAAGAAAAUCACUGAUGAGGCAGCAAACAUGAUAAUAAGGAUGGUGGCGAAAAUUUGAGAGCAAUGAAAAUAAGCUGGUGAUGGUCUAGAAUUUGUUGUUGUUGAAGAAAGAGACGCUGCUGCUCAGAAAGAAAAUGAUCCUGGAAUGCUGCGAACGAUAUCUUAAGUUCGUUUUACUGUUCGGAUAUGGAACGCACUUUAUUCAACAACUGCUGGAUUGGGUUAUUGGGAAUGGCUGAAGAUGAUGAUGGUGGAGCAUCAGAAGGCCAAUGUAGAGCUUGUGACCUCAGGGAAGAACUAAGAUCAAGAACCCAGUAAGGGGAAGCACAUCGUUAAAGAUGCAAUGAUAAAAAAGAGCCAGCUUUGUGGGUUUUCUCAACAAGUUCUAAUUUUUAACCUAUUGGUCAUCUACCCACCCAAAUCCUAAGCUAGCAAUGACCUCAUCCCUUAACUCCUUGGGUUCAUCAUGAGAUGGUUCAGCUAUAGGGACCCAAAAAUAUUGAAGGAUAUGGGUAAUGACACUACCAACCGAAAAGGAUAGGUUUCCUAUACUCAGUGUAUUAAGCAUGUGCUGAAUGAUAAUAUUCUCACAUUUAGCUUUUACCCUCAAGGAUGCUAUCUAAUAAAGUAACAUCUAAGCGUGUAACCUCAGCACCAUGUCCCUUGUGAGGACUGAUCACAAGCUGAAGGACAUUAUGUAGGAUCCGAACUUGAAGAGGCAACACUUGUGAUCUAAGAGAGGAGUUAAAAAGCUCCAUGGAUAGAUCAGAUCACCUACAUAUGUUUCGAACAUCUAUGUUUCAAAUAUCAUCUACAACUAAAUACCAGGGAUAAUCAAUUUUAAUCCUAGAUGUAUACAAAUGCAACCUAUCAUCUAGGAUUCAUGUUUAAAUCUUCUACAGUAAACUUAAUAGGAAUCCCAAUAACAUUAGUAAUAAUCAUGUUGGCAAUAUUUGUAGAAAUAAGCAUGUUCGAAUAAAAUACUCGUACCAAAUUAGGACAAAUAUGUUCCUUAAGAACUAAGACAUUUGUCCAACCCAAUUCAGCAAGUAAAGUUCUAAGAUUUUUGCUACAACUUGAAAAAUUUUCUAAUUAAUCAAGAUUAACAUAUAUAGUAUGGGAGGACUGACCUUGUCAUAAAUCGAUCAGAGAAUCAUUCCAUUGAGGCAGAUUUGGGAAGUGGGUGGAAAUGAAUUUCAAAAUGUCUUUAUGAAUCUUUUUUUUUUUACAUUUUAGGCAUAUGCUUACCCUUGGACUUCUCACCACUAGCCAUUAAGAAAUUAUCAAAAUGUGUCCAAAAUUGCACAAAUUCGAGUUCACAAAGUUUUUAAAGAAAUAGAUGAUUUUGAACCGAUUAAAAUGUUCUUUGAGAAGAUCUAAGGAAUGUAUGGGUUUAUUUUGGUCGAAAAUGGUCAAAUAAUGGUUCAAAUUUGAGAAUGUUGAAACUGGUGACUUAGGCUUUAAGAUUUUGAGAGAAGAAUGAUUAGAUUGUGUUUUAAAAGCAAAUGUGUGAAGAUUAAUUGAUGGGAAAUGAUUUGGAAAGUUUAAUUUGACACAAAAGUGAUGUAAAAAUGGAAGAUUUUAGAGAGAGAGUAAAAGAAAUGAGAGAUGACAGUGAUAGAGAGAGGGUAACAACUGAAAGUAGGAAAAAGAAGAUGAACAACAUUUGAAAAUGUGAAGCCAGCUAGCCUCUUGAAGAAAGCGGUUAACCGUUUCAUUUUUAGAAACCAAGCAAUUAACCGUUUACUUUGAGCCGGCUGGCCAGCUAGUUUCUGCCUCACAAUUGGCUAGUCGCUUGUGGUUAACGGUUAGCUAGUUCCUCUAAAUUUUGCAUGAUUUUGCUUUUUGGCCAAAAUUUAAUUAAUUUUGAGACCAUUUUGUGAUCCCGAAGUAUUUCAAAAGCCAUUUUUAAUGCAUAAGAUAUGAUGAUAAAUAUUCAAAGAAGUAAAUUCAAGCAUAUAAAACAUUAAAAUCAAGUUUUUAUCAUACAAUCAAUCAAGAUAGAAAAUCAAGCAAAUUUGUAGUCUCAAUAUCAUGCAACGAAAUAUUGAUGUGAAAAUGUCAUCAUUCCAAACUCAAUCCAAAUCUUUGAAAACUAUUCUUCACAAAAAGGCUUUGUAAAAAUAUCAACAAGUUAUUUUUCUAUAGAAACAAAUUCUAAAGCAAUAUCUCUCAUUUGAACAUGAUCACGUGAGAAAUAAUGCCUAGUUUCAAUAUGUUUGGUCCUAGAAUGUUGAAUGAGAUUCUUUGACAAAUUUAUUGAGCUAAUAAUUUAUAUGAGUUCCCUUAGACCAAGAUCAAUUGUUCCUCAUAAAUAAUGAAAAAUUAUUUUAACCGCAAGCAAAUGAGAUUCUUUGAGAUAUGGUUGAAAUCAUGCACACAAACAUACACUAAAGUAAUGUCUACUAGCAGUAAAGUAAAGUAAAGAUAUGAUCAUACCUCGAUAUCUUUUGAUACAACAUCUUUACUUUUUUUAUCCUUAUCGAGCUUGAUUGUAGUACUCAUUGGAGUGUCCUUAGUCCUGAAUGCAAAAUCUUUUGAGUAGAUCUCUGAAAUACUUGGCUUGAUUAAUGAAUUCUUUUUUUCUUUUAAAUUUUAAGUCCAAGAAAGUACUUCUAUUCUCCCAUCAUGCUCAUCUCAAAUUCUCUACUCAUGCAAGAUGAAAAUUCCUUACACAGAAACUCAUUAGUAGAACUAAAGAUAAUAUCAUCAAUAUAAAUUUGAACAAGUAUACCUUGAUCCUUGUAUUUAACAAAUAGAGUAGUAUUCGCUUUACCCAUUGAAAAACUAUUUUCUAAAAGAAAUUUACUAAGUCUAUCAUAUCAUGCUCUAGAUGCUUACUUUAAACUAUAUAAAACUUUGGACAACUUGUAAACAUGAUCCAAAAACAUUUUUCGUUUUUAAAAUGAGGGGGUUGUUUCACUUAAGCUUCUUCAUAAUACAACUAUUUAGAAAGGUGCUUUUAGCAUCCAUUUAAUAUAAAAUAAAAUCAUUAUGAUAUGCAAAUAAUAAAAGCAUGUAAUGGAUUCUAAUCUAGAUACAUGUGCAAAGGUUUCAUCAAAAUCAAUUUCUUCUUUUUGGUUGCAUCAUUGAGCUACUAAUCUAACUUUAUUCCUUACAACCACACUAGAUUCAUCGAUUUUAUUCAUAAAUACCCAUUUACUGCUUAUUACAGAUUGAUGUUAUGGUUUAUGAAUAAGUUUCCAUACAUUGUUUCAUUCAAAUUGAUUUAACUUUUCUUGUAUUGCUAUAAUCCAAGAUUCAUCAUUUUCCACAUCUGAAAAAGAUUUUGGUUCAACUUGAGAUAUGAAUACAGUAUGUUCACAUGUAUUUCUAAGUGAUUAUCUAGUAGUUAUACCUCAUGAAGGAUCUCCUAAGAUUAAGUCUUAGGGUGUGAAGAGACAUACCUUAGCUCCUUGGAGCGUGUUUGUGAAUUACCUUCAUUUUGAAUCUGUUUAACUUGUUCUUCUUGUUGCUUAUCUUGAUUUUUACCUCGUAAAUCAUCUUGUUUGUCUUUUAAAGACUUUUUGUUUUGUAACUCUUCAUAUGCAUCAUCAUCAACAACAACUUCCUUCAUAGAAGAAAAGUUAGAUUCAUCAAACAUAACAUGUAUAGAUUCUUUAGUGACCAAGGAUCUUUUAUUAUACACUCUAUAAGUUUUGCUUGUAUUUGAAUACCCAAGAAAAAUAUCAACAUCAGAUUUUAGAUUAAAUUUACCAAGAUUGUCUUUUGUAUUCAAUAGAAAACAUUUGCAACCAAAAACUUUAAAAUAGUCAAUGUUUUUUCUAUUUUUCCAAAGCUCAUAAGGAGUUUUAUUUAGGUAAGGUCUAAUCAAUGCACGAUUUAAAAUAUAACAAACAAUGUUGACGGCUCCAACCCAAAAAUAUUCUAGUAAAGCAUUUUCAUUUAACAUGGUCCUAGCCAUUUCUUGGAUAGACCUAUUCUUUCUCUCAACUACUCAAUUUUAUUGUGGAGUUCUUGGUGACAAGAAUUGAUGCUCAAUGCCAAAGUUAUUGUAAAAAUUUUCAAAAUAUAAUUUUCAAAUUCUCCACCAUGAUCACUUCUAAUGCAAGAAAUAACAUAUCAUUUUUUAUUUUGAACCUUUUUAUAGAAAUUUUGAAAGCAUUAAAGGUGUCAUCUUUAUUAGUUGAGAGUAAUACCAUGUGUAUAUAGAAUAAUCAUCUAUAAUUAUAAAUGCAUAAUAUUUACCACUUAAACUAGCAUAUUUAGAAAAUUCAAACAAAUCCAUGUGAAAAAGUUAAAGUGGUUUUGAAGUAGAAAUAUGAAUUUUAUUUUUAAAGGACGUUUUAUUUGUUUUCUAAAUUGGCAAACUUCACAAAUUCUAUCUUUUUUAGAACCAAUUUUUAGAAGACCUAUAACCAAAUCAUUUUAAAAAAAUUUUGAAAUCAAAUCCAUGCUCGCAUGACCUAGUCUUCCAUGCCAUAUCAACUAUCAUCAUGUAAUGUGAAAAAAAUAUUUAUCAUGAGUUGAUACACUAUCUAUAUCAAUGGUGUAUACAUUAACACAUCUUUAUCUAACAAAUAAAACUUUGCCAUCACAUGCAUUUUUAAUAACACAUUUUGUUUUAUAAAAAAUAACUCUAUAGCCUUUAUUACAUAAAAAUAACUUUGUAACCUUUAUCACACAAUUGACUAAUACUAAGCAAAUUCUAAAGCAAUAUAUUUCAUUUUUCUUUUUCAAAUCAUUUACAAGUAAACCUUUAUUCUUAGAUGAAACAUUUUGUUUUUUCUUUAAAAGAUGCAAUUUCUUCACAAAUACUUCUAGGCACUUAAUCUUUUUAUUCAAAGUGUCAUUCUCAUUUAAAAGUUCUACUUUUUUCUUUCCAAGAGAAACAUUUUACAUUUCAAUCUUCUUUAAAUCUUUAUGCAAUUUAGAGAAUACUUCAAACAACUCAUCCUAAGAGGUUUACCUCAUCAAGUUCAUCUUCUAUAAUCAUCUCCUAUAACCAUAAGUGCCAAAUUUGACACUUCAUGGGACUACUCUUCAUCUAUAGUCUCCUUAUCGCUAUCAUCCCGUGUUGCUACCAUGGCUUUCUUCUUUAAUUUUUUGAGAAAAGGACAUGCUAGUUUUAUGUGUCUAGGCUUCCUGCAUUUAAAGCAAGUAAUUGCCUCCUUCUUCUCUUUCUGAUUUUUGAAUUUCCUUCGCUCGAUGGAUUUCUUGAAAAUUAUUUUGAAUUUUCCAGCUAUCAUAGCCAUGUCUUCAUUUUCGAUCUCACUUUCGUUGUCACUUCUAGAUCUUGAUGCUUUUAAGGAAAUACUCUUCUUCUUCUCGUCUUCAUUAUAUUUUUUAGUUGUCAAAUCCUUUUCAUAAGAAAUAAAUGAACUAAUUAAAUCAUCAAUAGAUAAAGUAUCCUUGGCUUCCUUAAUGGCAAUUUUCUUAGGUCUCAAUUCUUUUGGUAAAGACCUACUGAUUUUUUUUACCUUCUCGCUGUUUGAAAAGGUUUUUCUAAGAGUUCCUAAAGUGUUUAUAAUGUCUGUUAAUCUAGUGUAUAUAGGAUUAACACUCUCAUUUUGUUCCAUUUAUAGCAAUUCGUAUUGCCUAGUAUAUUUACUAAUUUUAGACUAUUUGACUUGAUUUGUAGCUUUAUAAACGACUUUAUGUUUUUUCCAAAUUUCAUAAGCAUUGGAACAACCUUAAACUCUAUAGAAUUCUUUUUUAUCUAAGGCACAAAACAAAGCAUUCAUGACUUUGAAAUUAAGAGAAUCUUUUCUCUUUUCCGACUCAUUCCAUUCUUGUGAAGGUUUUAGAAUUUCUUUCCCUUCUUCAUUUUUAGCAGUAGGCAUGAAUGGACCAUCACAAUCAACUUCCUAUAUUUCAUAAUAUAAUGCUUGCAAAUAAAUUCUUAUCAUAAUUUUCCAACAUAGAUAAUCAUUCCCAUCAAAGAAUGGUGAUCUAGUAAGGGAUUAACCUUCCCCAAAUCUGGGAUCAUUUUGGAUUACUAUGGAUCUUUUACUCUAGAUGGUUAAGUCCUAACAAGAGAACUUCCUCUGAUACCAAAUGAAAUUCUAGCUAAGCAACCCAAGAGGGGGUGAAUUAGGUAUUAAAAAUUAUACUAACAAAAACACAAUACAAAUUAAACAAAUGCUUCAAGAAAUUUAAUAAUGGUAAAUUUAACUAUGCGUGAAAUUAAAAAGAUAAGGGAGAAGAUAACAAACACAUGAAUUUUUAUGUGGUUCGGCAAACCCGCCUAUGACUACGCCUCCAAGCAAUCCAAACUUGAGAAUUCUACUAUCCAAACCUUCCAAGGCUCCAAAAUUUUACAAUUGACUUCUAAGGUGUCAAUAAACCUUUACAAGUAAUUAUGUAUACACACACCUCUUUUCCCAAGUGUUUCCCACACUUAUACUCACUCAAUUUUGAUAUUUAAUUGAAGAUUACAAAGAUUACACUCUAUAAGAGUGUAUAAGCAAAUGAUAGCUCUAUAAUGAUUAAUGUAUGUAGAUAAGCAAAAUGAAAGCUCAAGAUAUAUGAAUAAGUUUUAGCUUAAUUGAGAUUGAAAAAAAUUGUUAGAUUUGAAUUUUAUAGUUUAAACAAUCAAACUAGCAAUUAUUGGCUUUUCUAGGGACUUGCUGGAUCGCCGUUAAAAUGAGGCGAUUAGCCACUAUGUUGAUAUGGUAAGUUACAGUUGCAAAUCAAAUUUGAAAACUUUGGUUCAAGCAGAUUACCACUUGAUUUAAGCGGUUAGCUGCUAUGUUUUUGGACUUGAAGUAGUUAGCCGCUAUUGGUUAAGCGAUUAGCCACUAUUGUUCUAGGAUUUAUAGAUUAGACCUAAUUUUUUUGAAAUUAUAUUACGACCCAAAACGUUUGAAAUAUUUAUAAAUAUGUCAAUUUCGAUGAUUUAAAACAUUAUUAGUUGAUUUCAAAGUUCUCAAAACUUUUCAAUUUAGUCCAUAAAUUUGGAAAAAGCAACUAAUUUUAUAAAAUCGUUAAAACUUUUAUAUUAUAGAAAAUGAUGAUUUAAUUUAAAAAUGUCAUGAAAAAUAUCUUGAGCUUUUAAAUGUUACAUCAUGCACACGUUCAAUUAUACUAUCUUUACAAGAAAUUUAACAAUAAAGAUUGCUUAAACUAGUACCCUUAGUAUUCAUCCUUGAUUGUCAUUGUCUAUUGAGUAUCUUGAUCUUGAUCUCACUUGAAUGAUUUUUGCCCUUCAAAAACUUGUGAGAUUGUGAGAAAUAAAUUUACCAUUGUACUCUAUGUAGUUUGUUAUCAUCAAAAUCAAGGAUUAUAUAACCAUUUAGGCCAACAAAAUAUUAUAAUAAAUAAUAAUUAUUAUGAUAAAAAAUUAAAGAUAUUUUGUAAUUUGUAACAACUCAUCGUGAUUUUAAAAUAAAAUAAAUAUAUCAAUGAUGAUAUAAUUUAUUUUAAUUUUAAUUUUUACAAUUUAAAUAAAUUAAUUAAUUAUCAUUCCAUAUUUUAAUUCCAACUCAUUCCAUUCCAAUUCAUUCAUAUUUUAAUCAGUAUAUCAACUACCCCCGAGCAAUGCCCGAAAGACAUUGAGGCAAGGGCCACAGAAAAAUAUGCACUUGUUAGCUUAGCGUUGGUGUCAAGUUUCUUUAGCAUUUUAAAUUCAUAAAAGAACUUAUAGUGUUUCUUCAUCCUUUGGCCUUUUCGGUGUUUACUUUCUGGAGUGAGUGUCAGCAGUGUGAAUUCCUCCCACUCCAGUGUUUACUUCACCAUUUUAAGGAGGGAUUGGGAAUCCCACUCCAUGGACCCCACUCAUUUUUGGAGUGGGGAGUGUGAGUGGGACUCCCAUGGGAAACCCACUCCCACCUCUCCAUUUUCUACUUUUAUUUAAUUAAAUUUAAUAUUUUAUAUUUAAUAAAAUAAAAUAAAAUAAAUAAUAUUAUUAUAUUAAUAGAGAAUUAAUAAUAUUACUAUAUGCUAUCUUUAUUUGAAGAUAUCAUAUUAUUAUAUUUAUUUAAAAAUAAUAGUAUUAUAUUUAUUUAAUAUUAAUAAUUAAUAAUAAUAAAUAGUUUAUUCUAAGAAAAUAUUAAUUUUGUACUAAAUAAUAUUAUAUUAUUAUUUAUAUAAUAAUAAAUUUAAUAUAAUAAAAUAAAAAAAUAUUUCAUUUUAUAUUUACCUUCCUUUUUUAACCCCCUUUUAUUAAAUUUACUAUAAUUAUAUUUAAUAAAAUAAAAUAAAUAAUAUUUUAUUUAUUUAAAUAAUAUUAUUAUAUUUAACUAAAUAAUAAUUUGGUUUGAUUCUAAGUUUAAAUUACUUAAAAAUAAUAAUAUUAUAUUAAUAGAGAAUUAAUAAUAUUACUAUAUACUAUCUUUAUUUGAAAAUAUAAUAUUAUUAUAUUUAUUUAAAAAUAAUAGUAUUAUAUUUAUUUAAUAUCAAUAAUUAGUAAUAAUAAAUAGUUAAUUAUAAGAAAAUAUUAAUUUUGUACUAUGUUCAUAGUAAAAAUGUUUCAUUUACAUUGCUCUUAUCAAUAAUUUUUAAUUUAUAUAAUUAAAAUUAAAAUUAAUAAAAAAUUAUGAUGUACAUAAUUAAGAAUAUUAAUAAUUAUUAUAAAUUUACAAAUAUAAUAAAAUAAAUGUUUAUUCAUUAAACAUAUUUUUUUAUUAACUUUGUAAUUAAAAACUAUAAUUCUUUAAAUAAAGGUAAAAUUAUAAUUUGAAACUAUUUACUUCCAAUCCAAGAUAAAGUAAACACAUAAAUUGGAUUAUAAUUUUCAUUCCGUGCUUAUAUUCCAGUGUAAGUAAACAACUUACACCCACUUUUACUCCAUACUCUCAAUCCUAAGAUUUCCACUCUUCAAGAUUCUCAGUCCAAUCCAAAAUGUAAACACUAUCUAUGGUAAUUGUUCACGCAACUAUUUUAAUCGAAAAUAUUUUAAUCGAAAAUAUUUUAAUCGAAACUAAUAGACCUUUCAACAAUUUUAAUCGAAAAUAAUAGACCUUUUAACAAUUUUUGCGGAUUCUGGCAAUUGUUCAGGCAACUAUUUUAAUAGAAAAUAUAUAUGGCUCCAUAAACAAUGAUUAUCUCUUGACAGCUGUUCUGGACUCGCUAUUUGUACUGAAAUAGAAGAUUAUCUCUUGAUGAUUAUUUAAUUGAAAAGAAUUUGUCGUUUAUAUUUGUUCACCUGGCCUUUGGAUGAGGAUCACAUGUUUUAUGACAAUCGUAAUGUUACUAAUGUAAGUCAAGCAAUUAUUUUUAAAUAAUGAUAUUAUAAUUAAAAAUCUAAAAACAUUUAUAAUACUUAAAGACUAAUUCAGAUUAUUAAUUUUUUUAUAUGACUUCAUUAUUAGCUGACAAAUAAUUAAAAGGCCAUAGAUCAAUAUUUUUAGGUCCAAUUUUUAAUUUAAUAUGACACAACUUGUACUUUCAUUCCUAUACUAAAGUAUAUCGAACCUACUAAUAAUUAAGAAAUAUAUAUAUUCAACACAUAUUUGUUAGAAAGAUUAUCUACUAAUUAAUCAUUGAUUACGAGAUUAAUAUAUUGAAAUUCAGAACUUUUUUUUUUCCUUCUGCAGUUUAAAAAGGAGUCGCCCUCUUGAUCCCCGUAUUCGUCAGCUUCUACUCUUUGCCUUCAAUUCUCAGUCAAGAAAACCUCUCCUGAUUUUCGUCUUUUGAUCUCAUACACACUUUGCUUCUGUUUAUCGUGGUCACUGCUCGUGCUAGCCGUUUUCUUAUUUAUCUUUGUUCCCUUUUUCCAUCAGCUCUUUGCAUUUUCAUUGGAUCAAGCAACCCUUUUCUUGAUUCAAUUUUCUGAUCUCAAAAACACUUUGAUUCGCUUCUGUUACACUGAUUUUCCCCUUGUUUUGUACAAAUAUCAUUUCUUUUUUCAACUUUGCCUUGUUUUGCUUCUACUUGAUUAUCAAUUGCACAGCCGUUGACCCUGUUCUAUUUCUAUUUCGUUCACUUCCCCAAAAAAAAAAAAAAAAAUGGACAUUUUGAAAAGCAUUGUUCCAGGAGUUGUAAACUGCUUGUCUCCUCACGCACAACGCGAAUUUUGUUAUUGGUAUAACUCCGCUGCCAACUUUGAGAAUCUCAAGGAAGAACUCGAUAGGCUCAAGGAUGAAAGAGAAAGCGUUCAGCGCAGAGUUUCUGAGGCUGAAAGAAAAAGUGAAAAGAUUGAAGAGAAGGUUGAGAAAUGGCUGGUUAAUGCGAACAAGAGCAUUGAGGAGGCAGCCAAAUUCAUUCUAGACGAAGAGAAAGCAAAUGAACGAUGUCUCAUGGGGCUGUUUCCUAAUUGGAUUACUCGCUAUCAGCAUGGAAAGAAAGCAGAAACAGAGAAGGAGGCCCUUUUUAAACUCCGAGAAGAAGCUGGGAGAUUUGAUGAUAGAAUUUCCUACCGUACCAUUCCGGAGGAGAUUUGGCUCAAGUCUCACAAAGGCUACGAGGCCUUCGAAUCAAGACGUUCUACUUUGGAGGCUAUAAAAAAGGCAUUGAUCGAUGUUGAUGUCAGCAUCAUUGGGGUGUACGACAUGGGCGGCAUUGGAAAGACGACACUGGUGAAGAAGGUCGCCAGGCAAGCUAUGGAAGACAAGCACUUUGAUAUGGUGGUCUUUUCAGAGGUUUCGCAAACUCCAGACAUAAAACAGAUUCAACAGGAAAUUGCCGAGAAGUUGGGCUUGGAGUUGCGCGAGGAAGCUGAAUCUAGAAGAGCUAGUAGACUAUAUGAAAGAUUGGAGAAUGAGAAGAAGAUCCUUGUGAUUCUGGAUAACAUCUGGAAACCUCUUGAUUUGGGGACUAUUGCAAUUCCUUUUGGAGAAGAUCAUAAAGGCUGCAAACUACUGCUGACAGCAAGAGAUCGUAGUCUCCUCUUAAAAAUGGGAUCUAAAGACAACUUUUUGAUAAACAAUUUAAAUGAAGAAGAAGCCUGGAGAUUGUUUAAGAUGAUGGCCGGAGAUGAUGUUGAAAAUCGUGAGUUGAAAUCUACAGCAAUAGACGUCGCCAGGGCAUGUGGAGGUUUGCCCAUUGCCUUGACUACAGUGGCAAAGGCACUGAGAAGCAAGAGUCUUCAUGAAUGGAAGAAUUCCUUGCGAGAACUCCGAACGCCUUCAAUGGUAAACUUCGAAGGAGUAUCUGCAGAGACUUAUUCAAGUAUUGAGCUGAGUUUCAACCAUUUAAAAGGUGAGCAACUCAAGAAAAUUUUUCUGCUCUGUAGUCUAAUGGAUAACCGUAUUCUUACUUCGGACUUGUUUAAGUACUCCAUGGGUUUGGGUAUAUUUAAAGGAGUCAAUAAGAUGGAAGAUGCACGAGACAAAUUAUAUGCAUUGGUCCAUGAACUUAGACACUCUUGUUUGUUGCUUGAGGGUGAGAGCAAUGAACAAUUUUCAAUGCAUGAUGUUGUUCGUGAUGUCGCAAUAUCAAUUGCAUGCCGCCACCAACAUGUGUUUUUGGUGAGAAAUAAGGAUGUGUGGGACUGGCCAGAUGAGGAUGCACUUCGAAAAUGCAAUGCGAUCUCUUUAAGAAAUAAUAGUAAUCGUGAAUUUCCUGAAGGAUUAGAAUGCCCAAACCUUGAAUUUUUAUUUAUCUCUCUCAAAGAUUCUUCUCUUGAAAUCAAUAUUCCUGAGAACUUUUUUGUAGGGAUGAAAAAGCUUAGAGUUCUAGAUUUUACUCGAAUGCAGUUUUCUUCUUUUCCAUCUUCAAUUGAUCUUCUACCAAAUCUUCAGACACUAUGUCUGGAUCAAAGUGCGUUGGGGAACAUAGCAAUCAUUGGAAAGUUGAAGAAUCUAGAAGUCCUUAGCUUUUUGAAGUCUGAUAUUAUGCAGUUGCCCGGAGAACUAGGUCAAUUGAAUAAGUUGAGAUUGUUAGAUUUAACCAAUUGUUUCCAUCUAAAAGUUAUUGCGCCUAAUCUCAUAUCAAGCUUAACUCGAUUAGAAGAGCUGUAUAUGGGUAAUUGCUUCAUUGAAUGGGAGGUUGAAAGAGCCAACAGCAAAAGAAGUAAUGCUAGCCUUGACGAAUUGAUGCAUUUACCUCGGCUAACCACUCUAGAAAUUGACGUUAAAAGUGACAAUAUUUUACCAGAAGGUUUUUUGGCCAGAAAGCUCGAAAGGUUCAAAAUAUCUAUUGGAAAUGAGUCAUUCAUGCCUCCCAAGAGUGUUAGAGGAUCAACAGUUAUCGCAAGAGUUUAAGAGGAUUGAAGCUCAAGCUUGAUUUUAUGGACAUUUGCUCCAUGAAAUUGCAGGGCAUCAAUAACGUUGAAUACUUAUGGUUGGACAAGCUGCAAGGCACCGAGAAUGUUCUUUUCAAUUUGGACACGGAGGGCUUUUCACAAUUGAAGCUUCUCUGGGUUCAAAAUAAUCCUGACUUCUUUUGCAUCGUCGAUUCAAGGGAGAUGGUCGCUUGUGAUGCCUUUCCUCUUUUGGAGUCACUUACCAUUCGCAAUUUGAUCAACAUGGAGAGGAUAUGUAUUGAUCGGCUCAAAGUAGAGUCUUUCAACAAACUCAAAACCAUAGAAGCAUAUAAUUGUGAUAAAUUGAGUAAUAUCUUUUGGCUCUCUACAACAAAAUGUCUUCCAAGACUUGAGAGAAUUGCAGCUAUUAAUUGCAGCAAGAUGAAAGAGAUUUUUGCAAUUGGGGAAGAAGUUGAUAAUGCAAUUGAGAAGAUAGAGUUUGCUCAAUUAAGAUCUUUGAGUCUGGGGAAUCUUCCAGAGGUUACAAGUUUUUGCCUCCAUGAGGUGAAGACUCCUUCAGCAUCACCGAACAGACAAGUGUCGCAAGAGGAAUCGACGACUAUGUAUUGCUCCAGCGAAAUCACUUUGGAUACUUCAACUCUGCUUUUCAACGAGAAGGUGCGUAGGCUAACAUUUUCUUCAUAUGUAACAGAUUUUAUUCAUAUAUAACGUUCUCUUUUGACGUCAUACGUGGAAAAUAAUUAAAUCAUUUAAAGAAUUGAAAGAAAAUGGAAAAAAGGAUAAAAAGAAUCUCACUCGCUCACUAAUUGAGCUCUUAACAAGUAGUAUGAAUUAGAAUGCAUACUCAGCUGUCAGUUGGAAAUUGAUUCAGACUUGCAUUAAUUUGCAAUCAAAGAAGAAAUUUUCAACAAGUGCUUCCCAUAUGGAAAUUGGAUCUAACGAGGAAUUCUUAUUUUUUUAGGUUGCGUUGCCUAACUUGGAGGCUUUGGAGAUAUCUGAAAUUAAUGUCGACAAGAUUUGGCACUACAAUCACCUUCCGAUCACGUUUCCUCGCUUUCAAAAUUUAACACGAUUGAUUGUGUGGCAUUGUCACAAAUUAAAAUACAUAUUUUUAGCGUCUAUGAUCAGAAGCCUUAAGCAGCUCCAACACCUAGAAGUACGCUUCUGUGAGGAUUUACAGGAGAUCAUUUCUGAGAACAGAGCAGAUGAAGUGAUCCCUAAUUUUGCCUUUUCACAGCUCACCACUCUGAGACUCGAAGAUCUACCAAAACUUAGAUAUUUGUACCCUGGAAUGCAUACUUCGGAAUGGCCCGCACUAGAAAUUCUUUUAGUGUAUCGUUGUGACAAAUUAAAUAUAUUGGCUGCAGAUUUAUCGCAGAAUAAUGAGAAUGAUCAACUUGGUAUUCCUGCACAACAGCCCCUAUUGCAGUUGGAAAAGGUAUGAAGCCAUUUUCUAGAUUUUUUAUCAAUAGUGUAUUUUGAACUUUGAAAAAUAUGACAAAGCAUCAAUAAAUUAAUACUCAAUAAAUUGAAAACUUUUAUUAUACAAUAAUCUUUGCUAGUCUAGACUAAAAGAGUUUGUUUGUUAAAUGUCUGAAGUUUGAAAUUUUAUUAAUUUCAGACCUUUUCCAACAUAUGCUUAUUUGUUUUUUUGGAACUUAUUGUUUGUUUUUUGGAACUUAUGUUUGAUUUUCAGACAUUUACAUAUGAAUAGAAAAAGUAAACUUUUGUGACUUUUAUUUGAAUGGAAAAAUGUCUGAAUGACAAGUAAAUAUUAAAUUCCAAAAAUAUCCUUGUAAAAUAAUUUAUUUCCUAAACUAUAAAAUGUUAUCCUCUUUUUUGUUUUAAUUUACAAGGACAUAAAUGUCAAAUAACCAAAUUAAGAUGUUUUUUAUUAUAAAAACAAACAAGAUGCCACUUAUAUUCAGAUAUUUAAAAAAGAAAAGGGAAAAGGACAAACACACCCCCAACGUUUAGGUAAAGGGACAAAAACCUCCCUAAUGUUUCAAAAAAGACAUUUACACCCCAAUUUAUUAUAAUUUUACCAUUAUACCCUUCUAGCAUAUAAAAAAAUUAUUAGAUUAUCCAAUUUGUCUAUAUAUUGUUAAUAAAAUUAUAAAUAUACCCUCAUUGCCUCAUUCCUCUAUUUAAAUUUUUAUCAAUAACCAAUUUUAAAGAAAGACAUCUACACACUUAAAAAAAAUUGUAAAUAAAUUAUAAUUUAUAAAAAAUUGGUUAUGAAUACCAUAAUAAAUAACAUAGAAAAUUGGUUAUAAAUGUACAAGUUUAAAUGAUUGACAUGUGGAGAAUUGUUAAAUAUACAAGUUUAAAGUUUAAAUAAAAUUGGUUAUUAAUAACCAAUUUUAUUUUUUAAAUUAUAAUUUAUUUACAAUUUUUUUAGGUGUAUAGAUAUCUUUUUAAAAAAUUGGUUAUUGAUAAAAAUUUAAAUAGAGGAAUUGGGCAAUGAGGGUAUAUUUAUAAUUUUUUUUUAAUAUCCAAAUUGUCUAUUUAUAAUUUUAUUAACAAUAUAUAGACAAAUUGGAUAAUCUAAUAAUUUUUUUUAUAUGCUAGAAGGGUAUAAUGGUAAAAUUAAAAUAAAUUGGGGUGUAAAUAUCUUUUUUAAAAUAUUAGGUGGGUUUUUGUCCAUUUACCUAAACGUUGGGGGUGUGUUUGUUAUUUUCCCAAAAGAAAAACAAACAUGUCAUUCAUAUUUUCGUAAUCAGACCCAUUCAGACUUUAAAAAAAUUUAGACUCAUUUAGAUUUCAGACAAAAAAAACAAAAGCUACCUAAGGGAUCAAUGUGGUAGAUUAAUAAUUAUAUGAACUUUUUUAGGUAUAAAAUUUAUAACUAUAUGAACUUUUUAAGUCUUUCCAUAUAGAAGAACUUACAAAAUAAAUUAGUAAUUUACUAUUGUGCAAUAAAAUAAUUUCGUUUUUUUCCCUAAUUUCUUUAUUACCUCUAAAACUAACAUAUAAAAAAUUCAUAUAAUGAAUUUUAUCACUAAUUCAAUUUUUUUAGGGGUAAAACUAAUAUAAAAUAAAUACUAUAAAGUCACUGCUUGUGAUUGGAUUACUCAAAAUCAUUUGAGAGAACAUCAAUUGACCUCAUUAGUUAUUAUGAUUGAUGAUGAUCAGAUCGUACCCAACUUGAAGGAACUAUCACUAAGUGGAAAAGAUGUGAAGAUGAUUUUGCAGGCCGAUUUCCCACAACACCUUUUUGGCAGUCUCAAACAACUAGAGAUUGUUGGAGAUGACUCAGCUUGUUUUCCAAUCUGGAAUGUACUGGAGAGAUUUCACAAUCUCGAAAUACUCUCACUGUUUCAAUUUUCAUUCCACGAAGAGGUAUUUUCGGAGGAAGGAAGCUUAGAGAAACAUGUGGGGAAGUUGGCAAUGAUAAAAACAUUAGAGCUGCGCUGCCACUAUCAUCUGAAGCAGCUGUGCAAACAAGACUCCAAACUUGGCCCCAUUUUUCAGUAUCUUGAAAUUCUGAGUGUACUUCAUUGUCAAAGUCUGUUAAUUCUAUUGCCAUCAUCAUCGGUAUCUUUUGGGAACCUAACAAAACUUGUAGCUUUCGGUUGCAAGGGAUUGAUACACAUGGUAACAUCCUCCACAGCAAAAACUCUAGUGCGACUCGUAUCACUUUGUGUAUACGGAUGCAGAGCAAUGACAGAGGUGGUAAUAAAUGACAAAGAUGGAGUUGAAAAGGAAGAGAUUGUUUUCCGCAAAUUGAAGAUGUUGGAUCUGCGUGAUUUAGAUAGCCUCACAAGUUUCUGCUCUGCCAAUUACACCUUUGAAUUCCCAUGCUUGCAAGAUCUAUUUGUGAUUGGUUGUCCCAAAUUGAAGAUUUUCACUAGAGGAGAAUCAAGCACGCCUCCGAGAGUAAACGUCUGGUAUGGAGAGACAUCGAAUCAACGGCGUUGGUCUAGUAAUGAUCUUAACACGACCAUACAACAAUUACAUGCUGAGAAGGUACGGAUAUACAUGUUACUCUCUAUCUCCCAUGGAAAAAUUUUACAAAAUUUGCUUUUUCUUUUUAAAUAAAAUAUCGAUAAGAUAUUUGUUAUAAAGUUAGUUUAAAUUGAUGAAUAAGAAUUUUAUUUUCAGCUGUUGGCGGGGUCGUCGUCAUACUCUGUGGAUUACGACUAAUUUCAUAGGCUUCUUAUGACUUGGAGUUACGAAUUUGAAGAAGAAAGUCCCGGCUGGUAAUUAAUUCUUAUUUUAUUUAUUUGAUCUCGUGGGUUGUUUCACAACUUCAUCUCAAUUGUUUAGAAUGGGUCACUUGGUUUACUGUCAAUAUGGAAUGCACUUUUCAUGAUUCGUUCAGGCUUUUAUGGGCAGAUUUUGCGUCAUUGAGCGUCUUUUGGCCUAAUGUAAUUUAAUUUGAGUAUUUUGUUUUGAGAGUUCCCUUGUUCUCUAAAAUUUUAUAAUUCCUUGCAAGCAUUUUAUGAUGAAAUUUCAUUAAGAGGGGCAACACUUGCAUGUUGAAAGUGUUCAGAUUUUAUAAUUCCUUGAAAUCAUGCAAACUUUUUUCUUUCUUUCCUUGCCAAUUAUUUAUUGUCAUCGUUACUGUUCCGUUAAAUUUGUUUGUGCUCUGUUUGUUCAUUGGAAACUUGGAAGGCAACGAAAGUACUUAAGAAAAUGCUCUUGCCUAUGAACACAUAAUUAAGAAGCUGAAUAUCAUUCAGCGGGUAAUAUAUAUAUAUAUAUAUAUAUAUAUAUAUAUAAUUAGCCCAUUAUGCCUACAACAAAUCCUUACACCAUCAAAGGUUAGCUAUGAACAACUAUAUUAUGGAAAUAUUGUUUGAAAGCAUUGGAUAGAAUUUUCAAAAAUAUCAAGUUUUCACAAACCAAAAAGGGAACUAAUUUGGUCUAGUUUUGUGACAAGUAUAGAAGCACAAUAUUUUGUCUGUUAUUCUUGUUAAAAUUCGCAGCACUGAGUUUGCAGAAUGUCUGGAUACUGAUGGAGAUUCAAGUCACUCUUCUUCUGUGCAACAUUCGAAAUGAAGACUUUUUUCCCCCUCUAUUCAAAUUUUAUGUUGUGAAGGGUUUCCGUUUCCAUCUUCAUGUGAUUUACUUCACCGUGUCGCUACAUCUAUGAUAGUGUGUGUUAUAUCCUGUCUGUUUCCUUUGUUUGACCAUCGAAAGUUCAAAGACAAUUUAUUCUAAAUAUGUGUAAAUUCAUUUUCUGUAUAAGCUCUUUGUAUGCAUUUUGACAUUUUAUUCUCAAUAUGGAUGACUCAAUGAGAGGUCUUUUGUUAUAUAUAUGUCCCGAAUUUCUUGUGUAUUUUUAGAUUUGAUGAUGUAUUAUUGUCUCAUUGCAAGGUCUUAUAAUCACUGAUUCUCAUUUCUCGUAUACAUACGUAUAUAUGGGCAAGAAAUUUGGUAAAUGAUCUAGUCAUUUUCUCAGUAAAACAUCUAGUACUUUAUAUGUUGGAAGGGUACUAAGCAGCAGGCCAAGAUUUGUCAACUCAAAGAUCGUCAUGUCAUUUUUUAAAAAUAUUAAGGAAUACUAAGGAACCCCAAGAGAAAAUUUAGAAAUACUAUAGGGACUACUUCUGCAUUGUUCAUUUUCGCAAUUACCUGCAUUAUUAUUUUUGUUUUCAAUUAAUCAAACUUCAGUUCCUUAGCAUUCAUCUAAUUAUGUACUUCAUCUGGAAAUCCUUAAUUUACUCAUCAAAAUGUGAACGCUAAGGAAACUAUGAAAAUAAAUAUAAAACUACUAGCUAAGUUUAUCAUCACAUAUGAGCAGCACUAGAUUAUCAAAUAAUCAUAAAAGCAUAUAAAUUCAAGCUACUGUAUUAUAUGUAGCUUGCUAAUUUGUGUUUAUAAAGAAUUUAGUUAUGCAACAAAAUGGGACACGAAAGUAGCAAAACUUCAUCAAAUACUCUGUUUUGUAGUACUUCAACAUAUCUACUGGCUAAGAAGUACCAUCACAAAUGAAAAUGUCGGCACAAAUAUUCAAGCAAGUGCAAGUAUCAAAAGUUGGUGGAUUAUUGUGGUUUUCCUACUUUGUCGUUUUUGGUUGAAUAAAUUAAUAAAAGCUGUCGAUUCUGCAUUAAAGCUUAUGAAUUGUGAAGAUAUGAAUACCAAAUCUUUCCAACUCCAACUCUUGAGUAAUUAUUAGGUUCCCACCCAUGCAAACAUAUUUUCUUUCGAGAAAAAGGGAUGCCUGAUUCAGGGCAUCCGUUGCCUCGGUUUAUUUGAUUUUGUUUGGUUCAAUUAUAGUUCUGUUAUUUAGUUUUUCCUCUGAUGAUUCUGUUUCUCUGUAUAUUUCACUGGGUUUGCUUUGCUUCACAUCUUUCUUUCAAAACUAAGAAGGCAAGGAAAGCGAGUCUGUAAUUAGAAAAUGCAAGUAGCAUAUAUCAAAUCAUGCAUAUGCUUAUGCUCUUGCCUAUGAACACAUAAAGAACAGCUGAAUAUCCUUCGUCGGAUAACAAAAAAUAAAAUCUAAUCAUCCAUUAUCCAUACAAGUAAUGAUAUCAUUACUUUUAGCAAAUUAAAGGUGUUGUAUCUUUUUUAUUUAAAAAGUCUCUUAAGAUUUUUAUUUUUCCGGUAAUUACACCUCCAAAUUUCCACAGCUAUAAUGUCAAUUUGUAAUUAUUUGUCCCAAGAUGCAGAUUUUCACUAGAGGAGAAUUAAUAAUUACGCUAUUUCGGCCCAGAGGACCAUGAAGCCCCUUGGGUUGUUGACAUUAACACUAGUGCGUUUACCAACCUAAACCUUCGGUUUGGUCAACAGUUUCUAAAUUGGUUUAGGUCAACAGUUUCUAAAUUGAACCUAUGGUGAAUGGAGGAAAAAGAAAAAGAGAUUUAUCAGAAACCUCCCCUGAAGUUUGGCAUAUUCUUAGUUUAAUAGAUUGUAUUUGUGUAUUCUCAAAUACCUCCCCUGGUGGCUGGUGCUAGUAUACCUUUUCUUAAUACCCCUAAUUUAGAAAAAAAUAAUUUGUAUACUGAAAAUAAAAAAUUGUUGGUUAGCACCAGCAUGUUUGUUUUGGUGCCUAAGGGAUGUGAAUGCAAUGAAAAUAUCCAAUCACCCCCGUUACUUUCCAAAAUGACUUUGAUAAAUGAAACAAACAAAAGAUUUAAGUCAAAUAUCAAAGAAUCAGAAGGAAGCUGUUUUGCACUGGCCUAAUUGCUAUGCUUUCUGAAUCAAAUUUCGUUCAAUCUUGGUGUCCCUCUUUUAUUCAAUAUAAGAAGAAUGAAAAAAGUAGGUUGUUUUUUACACAAGUGAUAGAAAUACUUCUUAACUUUAGACAGUGUAACACCAUACACAUCAAAGAAAUAAGACAACAAACCAUUUCCCAUGCAUAAAGCCAACAAAAUUACUAUUUAGUACAAGGGAUGCAACAUAAUUUUAAAUUUUAUUCCUCAAGAGCUACAAGUGAUACAAAUGAGUACACAAAUCAACCAUCUGUAGCUUAACCAGAAGAUGAUGCAAAUGCAUGAAAAUGAAAAAGCCUACGAAUAGUAUACAUGGUAAGUAUGACUAAGUAAAAUAACAAUUCUGAUUGAUAAUACCACCAGCAACAGGACCUUCAUACCUUCUCUUUAUUAAUCACUAGUUGGUAUGCUAUAGCCCAGCCAAGUGUAAAAUGAAUGGCGAUCGAGCUCUUGAGCCUCGGUAUACCCUCCAUAAGUUGUCUUGCUAAAACCCAAGAAAUAGCUUAUAAGAUGAAAUGGACCGCCCAUGGUUCAUACAAAGAAAAGAAUAAGCCACAUAUUAAUUGAAGCUAACAACAGACAUAAAAUGAUAAAUGAAAAAUGCUCACCUUCAGAAUGAAGUCAAUGUAAUGAAGAGCACCAUUCUCAAAUUCAGUUCUGCCACCUGGAAAAAUGUGGUAUUCACCAGUAACUUUAACCCCAUUUUGCUAACCCUUAACUUCUGCAAGCUUUGUGUGGGGAAAAUUAUAAUACCAAAUCUAUCCCACACAUCAUGAGAACAAAUCUUAGCCCAAGUGAAUUAAAAGUAGUCAAGUAUAUAUUUUAUAAUGCAUAAUAUAAGAUCAUACCCUAUCCCUGCUUUGGGGCCACUUAAUUGAGUGUUUGUAUCCUUCCAGUAAAGGAGCAAUACAGGUACAAGCUUCUUCAGGGCAAUACCUCUCUCGAUGUUCAUAAUGCUUUUGUGCUGGAAAGCAUUCUAAUUGCUUGCAAAUUGUCCAGGCAAGGGAUGCAAUCUGGCCUAGCAGUGGCAUUACACACUUUCCAGCGAUGACCAUACUGGUCCUUAGAUACAGAAGAUUGUUGUGAUAUUUUCUGAUUCUAUGACUCAAUAG